rnacentral:pre_miRNA from 1 species
UGUUGGUCUCAGUCGGUCGGCACUUAAAAGCACCUGCAGGUUGGUUAAUCGUUGUGGUUGAGUACCACCCAACCCGAUUGUGUUACAGCCUUGCAGCUCAGC